rnacentral:tRNA from 1 species
CGCGGGGUGGUGUAGCGGCAGCAUUUCGGGUUCAUGCCCCGAAGACACGGGUUCGAAUCCCGUCCCCGCAACCA